AUUGAACGCUAGCGGGAUGCCUUACACAUGCAAGUCGAACGGAGUGGCGAACGGGUGAGUAAUGUAUCGGAACGUGCCCAGUAGCGGGGGAUAACUACGCCAAAGCGUAGCUAAUACCGCAUACUAUUGGACCGGCCGAUAUGGGAGUAGCUAGUUGGUGGGGUAACGGCUUACCAAGGCGACGAUCCGUAGCUGGUUUGAGAGGACGACCAGCCACACUGGGACUGAGACACGGCCCAGACUCCUACGGGAGGCAGCAGUGGGGAAUUUUGGACAAGGGGGGAAACCCUGAUCCAGCCAUCCCGCGUGUGCGAUGAAGGCCUUCGGGUUGUAAAGAACUUUGGGCCGGCAAGCGUUACCCGCAGAAUCAGCACUGGCUAACUACGUGCCAGCAGCCGCGGUAAUUC
rnacentral:rRNA from 1 species